CUAAGAAUCUUCCGCAAUGGACGCAAGUCUGACGGAGCGACGCCGCGUGAACGAUGAAGGCCUUACAGGUUGUAAAGUUCUUUUAUAGUAGACGAAAACUAAGCGUAGGCUUAGUUGACGGUAUUCUAUGAAUAAGGUCCGGCUAACUACGUGCCAGCAGCCGCGGUAAUACGUAGGGACCGAGCGUUGUUCGGAAUUAUUGGGCGUAAAGGGUACGUAGGCGGUCUAAUAAGUCAGAUGUGAAAACCCCGGGCUCAGCCUGAGGCCUGCGUCUGAUACUGUUAGGCUAGAGUUACGGAGAGGAAGUCGGAAUUCCUGGUGUAGGGGUGAAAUCUAUAGAUAUCAGGAAGAACACCGGUAGCGAAGGCGGACUUCUGGACGUAAACUGACGCUGAUGUACGAAAGUUAGGGUAGCAAACA
rnacentral:rRNA from 1 species